UGCUCACUUUUGUUUUCACCCUGCAAUUACAGGAAGAGGACAGCUAUGUUUCGGGUGCUCCUGCCCACUGUGGUGUCUUGGGGCUUCUGAAAUCUGUUUGCUGCCAGAGAAACACAAGUUUCAGCAAGUAAGAAGCCAAAUCCAAUCCCUUCAAAAAGAAGUGGAGACAGCACGAUGUAGUGGAUGAAAAGCAGCCUUGAAACAUGGGAGCUACAUCUGAAUACCAAUAACUUCACAUAUGCUUGCUUGCUUGGGUGAGUGAGUCUGAGCCUGGAUCUCAAGUCCUUAGCUGCCUCUGCUGCUUUGUAUUUCUUCUCCUCGGCACAGAUCAACUUCCUGCAGGACCGAAUCCAGUUCUGUGUGAGCCUACAGUUAGGUCUCCUUGUAGGAAAGGAUGUUCUUCCCCACCCCC